GACGAACGCUGGCGGCGUGCUUAACACAUGCAAGUCGAACGGAAAGGCCCCUUUGGGGGUACUCGAGUGGCGAACGGGUGAGUAACACGUGAGUAACCUGCCCUUGACUUCGGGAUAACUUCAGGAAACUGGGGCUAAUACCGGAUAGGAAUCCUUGCUGCAUGGUGGGGGUUGGAAAGCUUCGGCGGUUUUGGAUGGACUCGCGGCUUAUCAGCUUGUUGGUGGGGUAGUGGCUUACCAAGGCUUUGACGGGUAGCCGGCCUGAGAGGGCGACCGGCCACAGUGGGACUGAGAUACGGCCCAGACUCCUACGGGAGGCAGCAGUGGGGAAUAUUGCACAAUGGGCGGAAGCCUGAUGCAGCAACGCCGCGUGCGGGAUGACGGCCCUCGGGUUGUAAAACGCUUUCAGCAGGGGCGAAGCUUGUGGUGACGGUACCUGCAGAAGAAGCACCGGCUAACUACGUG
rnacentral:rRNA from 1 species